rnacentral:rRNA from 1 species
GAUGAACGCUGGCGGCGUGCCUAAUACAUGCAAGUCGAGCGAACAGACGAGGAGCUUGCUCCUCUGAUGUUAGCGGCGGACGGGUGAGUAACACGUGGAUAACCUACCUAUAAGACUGGGAUAACUUCGGGAAACCGGAGCUAAUACCGGAUAAGAUUUUGAACCGCAUGGUUCAAUAGUGAAAGACGGCCUUGCUGUCACUUAUAGAUGGAUCCGCGCCGUAUUAGCUAGUUGGUAAGGUAACGGCUUACCAAGGCAACGAUACGUAGCCGACCUGAGAGGGUGAUCGGCCACACUGGAACUGAGACACGGUCCAGACUCCUACGGGAGGCAGCAGUAGGGAAUCUUCCGCAAUGGGCGAAAGCCUGACGGAGCAACGCCGCGUGAGUGAUGAAGGUCUUCGGAUCGUAAAACUCUGUUAUCAGGGAAGAACAAACGUGUAAGUAACUGUGCACGUCUUGACGGUACCUGAUCAGAAAGCCACGGCUAACUACGUG